GAUGAACGCUGGCGGCGUGCUUAACACAUGCAAGUCGAACGAUGAAGCUCAGCUUGCUGGGUGGAUUAGUGGCGAACGGGUGAGUAACACGUGAGUAACCUGCCCUUAACUCUGGGAUAAGCCUGGGAAACUAGGUCUAAUACCGGAUAGGAGCGUCCACCGCAUGGUGGGUGUUGGAAUGAUUUAUCGGUUUUGGAUGGCCUCGCGGCCUAUCAGCUUGUUGGUGAGGUAAUGGCUCACGAAGGCGAAGACGGGUAGCCGGCCUGAGAGGGGGACCGGCCACACUGGGACUGAGGCACGGCCCAGACGCCAACGGGAGGCAGCAGUGGGGAAUAUUGCACAAUGGGGGAAAGCCUGAUGCAGCGACGCCGCGUGAGGGAUGACGGCCUUCGGGUUGUAAACCUCUUUCAGUAGAGAAGAAGCGAAAGUGACGGUACCUGCAGAAGAAGCACCGGCUAACUACGUG
rnacentral:rRNA from 1 species